CUCACUUUGAGGCAUGUCCUUUAAAUUCCUUAGGGCCUGUUGCGUUCAAAUGGGCAAAAAGUAACUGUGCAAGAGUUGAGGGUUUUUCCAGAUUUCUGUGGCCCCAGAGCUGCUGUCGUACAGGAUUUUCAAAGGAAGUUUAUAGACAUUUAAAGAGCAGAUUCAUUUUGAACUCCAUGAACCUGACACUGAAUGAGCUGCACUUGCAGCAAAACCUGAUUGUGAAUAGACUCAGCAGGAUCCGUAUUUAUUUAGUCAGCAGUGAAUUGGGGUACACGGUGCACAUGAUCUCAGUAUCCAAGGAACCUGACUGAUGAGGAAUCAGCAGAUAUUGAGAAGAACUUGAUAACCAGGAAUAAUGAGAUUCAUAUGGUGAAGUAUAAAAA